CGAGUGGCGAACGGGUGAGUAAUACAUCGGAACGUGUCCGCUCGUGGGGGACAACCAGCCGAAAGGUUGGCUAAUACCGCAUGAGUUCUACGGAGAAAGAGGGGACCCGCAAGGGCCUCUCGCGAGCGGAGCGGCCGAUGACUGAUUAGCCGGUUGGUGAGGUAACGGCUCACCAAAGCAACGAUCAGUAGCUGGUCUGAGAGGACGACCAGCCACACUGGGACUGAGACACGGCCCAGACUCCUACGGGAGGCAGCAG
rnacentral:rRNA from 1 species